GCCUGAGUGGCUCAGUCGGUUAAGCGUCCGACUUGAGCUCAGGUCAUGAUCUCAUGGUUCGUGGGUUGGAGCCCCACAUCGGGCU
rfam:Felis catus isolate Cinnamon breed Abyssinian chromosome E3, whole genome shotgun sequence.